rnacentral:rRNA from 1 species
AAUCAACGCUGGCGGCGUGCCUAACACAUGCAAGUCGAACGCGAAAGCCCCGCAAGGGUGAGUAGAGUGGCAAACGGGUGAGUAACACGUGGGUGAUCUGCCUCAGAGUGGGGGAUAACGACCCGAAAGGGUCGCUAAUACCGCAUAACAUCCUGCCUUUGGAUAGGUGGCGAUCAAAGUUGGGGAUCCGCAAGGACCUGACGCUUGGAGAGGAGCCCGCGGCCGAUUAGCUAGUUGGUGAGGUAACGGCUCACCAAGGCAACGAUCGGUAUCCGGCCUGAGAGGGCGGACGGACACACUGGGACUGAGACACGGCCCAGACUCCUACGGGAGGCAGCAGUGGGAAUUGUUCGCAAUGGGCGCAAGCCUGACGACGCAACGCCGCGUGGAGGACGAAGAUUUUCGGAUCGUAAACUCCUUUCGAUCGGGAAGAACAGCUCCUGGGUUAAUAGCCUGAGAGUCUGACGGUACCGAGAGAAGAA